CCUACGGGUGGCUGCAGUGAGGAAUAUUGGUCAAUGGUCGGGAGCCUGAACCAGCCAAGUCGCGUGAGGGAGUACUGCCCUAUGGAUUGUAAACCUCUUUUGUCAGGGAACAAAAACUGGACGUCUUCCCCUGUUAGAUUACCCGGAAGAAAAACAUUCGCUAACUCCGUGCCAACCGCCGCGGUAAAAACGAGGAUGCCGCCGUUAUCCGGGUUGAUUUGGUUUAAAGGGUGCGCAGGCGGGUUUUUAAGUCAGCGGGUAAAACGUGGGGGUCAACCCCAUCCAGCCGUUGACACUGGCGGUCUAGAGUUGGCGAGAAGUAUGCGGAAUGCGCGGUGUAGCGGUGAAAUGCAGAGAUAUCACGCAGAACCCCGAUUGCGAAGGCAGCAUACCGGUGCACAACUGACGCUGAGGCACGAAAGCGUGGGUAUCGAACAGGAUGAGAUACCCCAGUAGUC
rnacentral:rRNA from 1 species